CAUCAGGAGUUGUCUUUUCACCGAUCCACCUUCGUCCCUGCCACGUGAAGACGAACGUGCGGGUGAAGCAGCGCUCGCCGCCGAUGUGAUUCUUCUUGAUAGUCCACUUCUCUAAAAACUGUUUUUAGGGUUGGCCAAAGCAUAUCUUUACAUGUGAGGGUGAAAACCAAUUAAACAUAUCAUCUGUGGAAAUGGAGUAUCU
rnacentral:lncRNA from 1 species